GGAUUGUUUAUGAACGUGUCUUUUUCCCUGGGGAUUGUAGAGCUGUCAUCAGAUUUCUAAAGGAGGACACAUCCCUUGUUAGACUGUCCACAUCUGGUGCACUGUGGAGGUUUGUGGUGGUUGGGAAAGCGAGUCACUCAAACUGCCAGGUAAAUGCGGACACGGCGGCUGUUCACUGAGUUCAGCUGCAUCCCUGUGCUCUCCCCGCUUCUUCCUUUCCCCUAAAGGAUAAAACAAGACAUAUUUUGGGUAAUGGAAGGCCAGCCAGGUUUUGGGGACUCUGGAUUGGCAUGGAAUGUGUUCAACAUGCUUUUGGAUAUUAGGCUCUUCAGCAUAUUUUAAUAUUCAUAUGGCUGUGAGAGAUGGUGUCACUUUUAAUUAGCAUGUGCCAACAUCAAGAAUGAGUUCCGUUUCUUUUAUUCAGGUUAGAAAUGUGUGACUAAUGAGUUGUAAAACAAUACUUAAUCCUCUUGUUUUAGUGAGUCCAUAGGUACAAGAGCAGGAGAAACAGGGCAGCUGGUGACUACUUGAGAGCACGUUGAUGUCCUGGAGUUUGCAGUGGUUCAUUUUGAAUGCCAGCAUUAUUGCAUGUAAUUUAGGAAUUACAGACUACGGAUAAUAGCAGUUCCUGCAGAGACCUGGUGAACUUGGUGAGAUUGCAUUGCGCCAGACGGGGUAGCAUUUCAGGAGUUGAGGUUGGAGGUAGAGUUCUGUCUGAGAGUUCUCUCCUGUUGAGAAGAAUAGUGACCUUUGUUAAGGGCAGAUUAUCAUGAAUGCAAAAGGUACAAGGGAACACAUACAGGGCAGGGUGCAGGAGAGACCAGCUAUCAGUUUCUGUCCUCUUUCACUGGGGUUGUGUGGACAGUGCCUGUCGGCCUAGCAGAGGAGUGGUGCAGCAUGCACAGAGAUUGUUAGCCAGCAGAGCUCCCCUGAGCCUGGGUGUCUAAGGUGUCUCUUGGGGUUCUCUUGCGGGCAAGGCUGACUGCUUGCCUGCCGAGGACAGAGCUGGUGUCCCGUGCUGCCCAGUGUCCGGGCAAGCAGACCGCUUUCUCGGGCAGGAGAUUGUGAAGACUUGGAGGUCGCCUCCUUGAAGGUGGGCAAAGGGCCGACCUUCUCUUUGGGCAGAGUUAAUCCUUUACUACCUGAACCCUAGAAAAGCACAUUUUUAUUCCUGCUGUUACUAGGGAGCUCAAGAAAUUAUUUUCCUUUAGGUAGAAGGUCUGUUGCAACCACUUGCAGUCUCAUUUACCACCAAACUGAAACAAUUAAAAUGUCUGUACACACGUGAGGGUGUCUCCCGGAGUGUGGCGUACUUGACACCUGUCCUGUCUGACAUUUCCAUUGUGAUUUGAAUAAAGAACAGAAGUCAAGCUGGGAGACAGCUCAUUUUUAGAAUUAGGAUUUUAAAAUAUUUUGACAGGUUAUAAUGAAGUGCUAAAUCAAUAAGGUGAAAUUUAUUAGGAAUAAAUGUAAAAUGGAAAAUUUACUUAACAAGAAAACCAGCUAAGAAGAAAACCAACUAAGAAGUUGGUCACAAUGCUGGCCCUUGGGGUUUGUUUUUGAGAGAGGAGGUGAAUAAUAUUUUCCUUAAUUGGGAUUCAAAGUUAGUGUUCCCGGUUACCAAAUUUAAUUACAGGGUGGCUGGUGUUGUGGCACAGCAGGGUAAGCUGCCGUUUGUGAUGCUGGCAUCUCACAUGAGCGCUGGUUUGGGUCUUGGCUGCUCUGCUUCCAGUCCAGCUCUGUAUUUAUGCUCCUGGGAAGGCAGGAGAAGUUGGCGCAAGUGCUUGGGCCCCUGCCACACAUGUGGGACACCUGCAUGGAGUUCCAGGCUCCUGGCUCUGGCCUGGUCUAGCCACAGCCACUGCACCCCUUUGAGGAGUGAACCAGCCGAUUGAAGAUCUCUCUGUCUUUCCCUAUAUGUAACUCUGCCUUUCAGAUAAAUAAAUUAAAAAAAUUUUUGAUACUAAUUGAUACUUGCAAAUUACUGAUAAAAGUCCAGGACUAUAUAUAAAUAUAUAUAUUAAAGAUUUUUUUAAGAAAUUAUUUGAAAGAGUUACAGAGAGAGGUAGAGACAGAGAGAUCUUCCAUCUGCUGGUUCAUUCCCCAAAUGGCUGCAAUGGCUAUAGCUGAGCUGAUCUGAAGCCAGGAGCCAGAAGCUUCUUCCAGAUCUCCUCUGUGGGUCUAGGGGCCUGAGGACUUGGGCCAUCCUCGCUGCUUUCCAAGGUGCAUUAGCAGGGAGCCAGAUAGGAAGUGGAGCAGCUGGAACUUGAGCUGGUGCCCAUAUGGGAUGAUGGCCCUGCGGGCUGGGGCUUUAACCCACUGUGCCCUAGUGCCUGCCCCAGGGCUAUACUUUAAUUAAGCAGAAUCAUUGCUUAGAAGGCAUUUGUAGAACUUAUUAGGUUCUUUUUGAUACUUGCCUUUUAGUAUUUUAUUACAUUGCAGGUUAAUCACUUUCAGUUGGUUAGGUGUAAGCUCCUCAAUUGUGUAAUUUUCUUUACACUUGCAUCAGGGUUCUGGAAAAAAAGCUGCAGAAACGAAGAAACUAGCUGUGCACAUUUGCACGGGAAUGGAAACCCUGCUGCUUGCCUUAACUUCUGACAGCAGAAGUGCAUCAAGAAGCUUGACGUCACUUGUGACUCAGAUGGUAGCUCUCACCGCAGUGACUUUACUGUGGUAUAAGUGUCUCUUAUAAGCACUGUUUUGCCUUGUAAAUUUAGGUUGAAUUUAUUAAGAAACAUUAUCAAAUCUAUAGCAAAACUCUCCAAUAUUUGAUAAGUGAUAACUGAGAGAGUCUUCAGAAAAAGUUAUAAUAAAGCCAUAGAUAAUUCAGCUACUCAGAUUUUGACAAAACCUUAGGGAGCUGAUGUUGGAAGACAGAGUUAUGUAGAGAGGUAGAGACAGAGAGAGAGAGAGGUCGUCCAUCAGCCGGUUCACUCCCCAGAUGGCCACAAUGGCCGGAGCUGAGACAAUCUGAUGUCAGGAGCCAGGACCUUCCUCUGGGUCGCUCACGUGGUGCAGCGCCCCAAAGACUUGGGACAUCCUCCGCUGCUUUCCCAGGCAUGUUAGCAGGGAGCUGGGGCAGAAAGGGAGCAGCUGGGACUUGAGCCGGUGCCUUAGGGGAUGCUGGCGUUACAGGCCAGGGCUUUACCUGCUGUGCCACAGCACCCGUCCCUCAUUUAGGGAUUUGAGCAGAGAAGUGAUGAUAUCUGACUGGAACUGACUCACCUGUUUUGGAGUGGGUGCAGGAGUGAGCGCAAGGACAGACCGGGGACCUGUUAGGUGACUGUUGUGUGAAUGUGGUGGCGGCUUGGGUCAGCUUGGUGAUGUGAACAUGGAGCACAGUGGGCAGUGUCUUUGGACAUUAGCAGGAUGAGCCUUCUAUUUUGUUGACAAGAGUAGAUGGGGGUGUGGGAGGAAGAAAAGAGUUGAGGAUGACGUCUGCUUUUGGCCCGAGCGGAGGGAGUGUGUGGUCGUAAACUGAGAUAGAGGAGACUGUGUGAAGAAGACUUGGAGGGUGAAAUCAGUAUUUGAGGUUUUUUGGGAAAGAUUUGUUUCACUAUUUGAGAGGCAGGGUUGCGGAAUGGGAGAGGGAGAGGGACCCGGGUGCCUGGGGCAUCCUCUGCUGCUUUCCCAGCACUCUAACAGGAAGCCGGACCAGAAACGGAACAGCCGGGGCUCAAGUUGGGCUCUUGCGGGACGCUGGUGUGGCAGAUGGCAGCCCAGUCCACUACACAACUCUGACUCUGGGACUUGAGUUUUGAGAUGUCUCUUGGAUGUUUUAUUCACUUACCUGUGGUAAUGUUUCACUUCUGUAACGGAUCUAGAAACUGGCUCUAACAGAGUGUAUUCAUCAGGGUUUGGGGAGAAGCAAGUCAUUAGUGUAGGGCUCUCCCCCCACACGAAGCAGGCCAUUAGUUCUGCAGCAGACACAAGCUGUCUCAGCUCAGUUCCGACGGCCUGCCUGGAGCCACGGGUUGAGGCUUCAGUCUUCCAGACUGUUCCCUGCCUCUUUAAAUACUAGCUGCAAGCCCUAGAUUGCUAUGCCUGUGCGUCUGACCACCUGGCUAUAUUUUAGAGCUCCCACAACCCCUCCUUGGGUUUGAUUAAUAGGCUUGAACCCACAGAGCUUAGGGAAACACAUUAAUUGGUUUACUAUAAAGGCUAUUAAAAAUAUAUAGGUGCAGCCGGUGCCACGGCUCACUAGGCUAAUCCUCCGCCUUGCGGCGCCGGCACAUCGGGUUCUAGUCCCGGUCGGGGCGCCGGAUUCUGUCCCAGUUGCUCCUCUUCCAGGCCAGCUCUCUGCUGUGGCCCGGGAGUGCAGUGGAGGGUGGCCCAAGUACUUGGACCCUGCACCCCAUGGGAGACCAGGAGAAGUACCUGGCUCCUGGCUUCGGAUCAGUGCGGUGCGCCGGCCGCGGCAGCCAUUGGAGGGUGAACCAGCGGCAAAGGAAGACCUUUCUGUCUCUCUCACUGUCCACUCUGCCUGUCAAAACAACAACAACAACAAUAUAUAUAUAUAUAGGUGGAAGGAUGCACAGCAUGCAAGAUAUGGGAGAAAGGACACAGCUCUCACAUCCCCUCUCCAGGCAGCACCCUCCAGCAUCUUCACCUAGUUGGCUCUGUGGAUCCUCUCACAGCUGUGUCCUUAAAAAAAAAAAAAGAUUUAUUAAUUUAUUUGAAAGAGUUACAGAGAGGUCUUCCACUUGCUGGUUCACUCCCCAAAUGGCUGUGGUGGAUUGGAAGUUGAGCAGCUGGGACUUGAACUGGUGCCCAUAUGGGAUGCUGGCUCUUCAGGUGGCUGCUUUACCCGCCGUGCCACUGUGCCGGCCCCUCUUGAGUUUUUAUGGAGACCUCAUUGCAUAGGUGUGACUGCCUAUAGAUUGGGUGGGAAAUCUAACAGGCCUGGCCAUUGAGGUUCUUCGGCAUUCUUUGCUGCUGGGCGUGGGGUAGACGCCUUCUCAAAUGGAGAUCUUUGUCCUCCGACAAAGUAGGUCGGAGGAAGAUGGCAGUUCAGAGCUCCUGUGACCUGCCUUCGGGAGAGAAAUUCUCCUUUCUGUGGCCUGCCUUGGGGAGUGAGUUAUGAACCAGGAACCAUACACAGAGUCCAAAAGAAGUAUGUAUCAUACUAUUGCUGCCAUUCCAGCACUGUGAAGUGUGAAGCAGAAUGCUUCCCCGUGGUGGAAAGGCUGGGAGCGCUGCGGGUCAAGGAGACAGCUGUUCACAGGACUCUUCUCAGGGGCUCCUCUGGAGCAGCCAGAGCUCGGCAGGCCCUGCUGCUGCCCCCAGUGCUUCCUGUGCUGCUGCCGUGUCACGAAGGUCGCAGCGGAAGCUGUGUCGCUCCCUGCUGGAGUGGGUGACUUGUUCUUCCUCCUUUCCGGUCUUCCUGCAGCUGCCCCCAGACAACAGGGCUCUUUUUCAUCUCACCAGUCUCACACGAGUGCCUCUCACUGCUCAACUAACCCUGAGUUGUAGCAGAAGAGGCUUCUGGGAAUGUAACUGUGACCUCCUGCUGCACAGGAGACUACAGAAGGUGUUAGUGGUGCAGAGUUGACAGCAGUCAGUACAGCCCAGUGGCCAGUCAGCGGAGUCACAAAGUGAGGUGCCUGGGAGGUCAGCGUAGGUAGGAGGAAACUGGAAGGCUUUGGGCGGACUCUGGAGUUGACGGGUUGAGACAAGAGGCGCCGCACCUGAGACUGAGGAGCCAGUGGUGACCUAAGAACAAAGACAGAAGAUGGUGUCCUGGAAGCCGGGAUGCUGGCAUUGAGAGUGAUCGGCUGUCAGUUGUUUCUGACAGGUCAAAUAAUUGAGUAUCAAACAUUGAUUUAGCAGUAUGGAAGUCAUUGGUAAUCUUGGAUAGAGAACUUUUGCUGGAGGGGUGACAGUCAAAGCUGGUAGUUUUUUGUUUUUGAAAGAUUUAUUUAUUUGAAAGGGUUAGAGGGAGGGAGAGAGAGAGAGAGUGAGAGCGUGCACUUCUGUCCCCUGGUUCACUCUCCUAAUGAUUGGGGCCAGGCCAGGCUGAAGCUAGGAGCUUCUUCCAGGUCUGGCAUUUGGAGGUGGCUUUAUGUGCUAUGCCACAACAGCAGCCCCAAAUCUAGUGGCUUAAAGAGAUAAAGGUAAGGGGCAGAUAAAACCAACACCAGCGAUGCUGACAUCCCAUAUGGGCAUCCCAUAUGGUUCAAGUCCUGGCUGCUCCACUUCUGAACCAGCUCCCUGUUAACGGCCUGGGAAAGCAGUGGAGGAUGGCUCAAGUGCUUGGGCCCCUGCAGGUGGUGGCCGGAUCUUCUUUCCUGCCCCAGCUCUGUGCCGGCAUCCCAUAUGGGUGCCAGUUAGAGGCCCGGCUGCUCCACUUCUGAUCCAGUUGUCUGCUAUGGCCUAGGAAAGCAGUAGAUGAAUGGCCUAAGUCUUUGGGCCUCUGCACCCAUAUGGGAGACCGGGAAGAAGCUCUUGGCUCCUGGCUUUGGAUCGACACAGCUCCGGCCGUUGCAGCCAUCUAGGGAGUGAACAGUGGACAGGAGAGGUCUCUCUGACUCUGCCUCUCUGUAACUCUGCCUUUCAAACUAAAUAAAUAAAUCUAAAAAAAUUUAUUUUAUUUGUUUGAAAGGCAGAGUUGGAGAAAUGCAGAGAGGGGCUUACUCCCCAAGUUUAACUAUAAUGGCAGGGACUGGGCCAGGCUGAAGCCAGGAGCUAGGAGCUUCACCUGGGUCUCCCACAUGGGUACAAGGGCCCAAGCAUUUGGGCCAUUCUCCAUUGCUUUCCCAGGAGUAUUAGCAGGGAGCUGGAUUGGAAGUGGAGCACCCAGGACUUGAGCCAGUGCCCAUAUGGGAUGCUGGCACUGCAGGUGGCAGCUUAACUUGCUUUACCACAACUCUGACCCUGAAAAGCAGGAUUUUUAAAAGACAAAAGGAUAGUGCAUAGUCAGACAUGGGUGCAGGCAACCUUGUGAGGGAGGAUUGCUGGGAUAAUUCUAACGCUCGAGUCAUUUCAGUAUUGGCUUGCUUUGAUUUUCUUUUUCAAUGGGAAUUCAGAUUUUGAUUCUUCCUGUGUUAAGUUUCAGUUGCAUCUUCCAUGGUUUGGUUCUGUUAGGAGACUCUGGAUCUUGUUUAAAUCUGAUGAUGUGGUGGUUUGGAUUCUAGCCUUCUUCCCUAAUGCACCUGCUGCCAUUUACUGCUCAGUAAGUAAAUGGCUUCUGCAGUUACUGUGUCCAGGUGUUCUAGUUGUUUUUAAGGGGAGAGAUAAGGUGGAGUGUGCUUAUUCCUCCUUACCUAGAACUGCGGACUGCAGUGGGGCCAUGAUGCCCAAAGGACUUCGUAUUUCUUUUAAAAGGUUUAUAUAUUUUCAUUUUAUUUCAAAAGCAGAGGCAAGAGAGUACAAGCUCGCGAGCUUAAGAUCUUCCAUCUGCUGGUUCACUUCCUACAUUUUUACAACAACCUGGACUGUGCCAGAUUGAAACCAGACCUUGGAACUCAGUCCCUGUCUCCCCGCUUGGGUGGCAGGGACCCAUUGUACUGGAGUCGUCAUCACUGCCUUCCUAGGUGUGCGUCAGCAGGAAGCUGGUAGGACCCACAGUGGCUGGGCAGGAUGUGGAGUGUUGUCUCCAUCAGCGCCCUCCUCCAGUCACUCCAGGAGAGCUCCUCCCGGCUCCUCUGUGACUUGGAUCCUUUUGGUGUCUCUCACUCUCGAGUCAUUUGCUGUCUUUUUCAGGUAGGCAGCGUGACCUGCACGUGUACAUGAUAGCCAUUAGUUCCUUUGCAUAUGAUUCAAGGAUGGCUUAUUCCUGAGUAGUGAUUGACUUUUAAUUAGCUUCAGUAGAAUGGUGUUUUUUUGUUUUUUGGUUUUUGGUUUUUUUUAAUUUUAAACCGUUUACACUGAGAUUUUGUGGGGGUCCUGUUUGUGAUGUGGGUGGAAUAGUGUGAAGAAGCAGGCUUUGGACUGAUUGUGUUUGAAUUCCUGAUCUGAUCCUUGCUCCUUUGAUAUUCGCCAGGCUGCUCAACCUCUCUGAAUCUGUUUUGUCCCUCCCCCCAUCUGUUAAGUAGAGGUUAUAGUAACUUUAAUAAAUGUGAUGUAGAGUAUAGUUCUUAUUAUGUGGCACGUCAUAGAAAUAAGAGCUGUUAUUUAGGGCAGAGUCACUGUGGUGUUCAGCAAGUAAAGUUCCUGACAAUGUAGUUGUUUUCUGCUUUAGGGAUUUAGAGACAGAUCUUUAUCUUCAUCUGCUUUAUAUUGAUCUAAGAACUGGGAAGCAGUCUGUUUGUCAUUUGCUUGGUAUACACAGUAGACAGUUUAUUAUUAUUGCUAAUAUUGGCUUUUCAAAAUGCAGUAGGCUCCCAGCUUCCUUUCCCCUGUGUGUUUAUUCAGUCCGCAGUUUAGUCCCCAUGUCAUGGCGUACCUUGAGCUAUGCAGUGGACAGAUUAAUGAUGUACAGUAUUCCCACUUUUGAACAGUGCCACAGUCUAGUGCUAGAAAGUUUUUUUGGCUAAGGAGUUAUUUUUGAAGUAUAAAGAAGCCUUUGUUUGCCCAGAUGAUUUUCACACUCACCUUCGUAUUUUUGAUGCAUUUCUGAUUUUCAGGAAGUUUACUUUUGACCUCUUUUCUUUCAGAAUACGGGUUACAACUUGUGGUAGUACAGGAAGUUUUGGUAGACUGAGUUUAGAAGAAGGAAACCCAUAUGAAAUGGUUGUAUAUUCUGAACGUGGAAGAGCUUCACGGAUAACUUCAGGUGUUAGAAUGUUAUGGGUUAAUACGUAGUGGUUGGGUUUAGGCCUUAUUUGGAAGUUUACAAAAACAUUGUUUUUCCAGGGUCCCAGCUUACUUGCUUGAUUCCAGCCAGAUGUCUUAUUUUUUUUUGAAGAGGUUUUUUUUUAUUUUGAAGCAAGAGAGAGAGAGAGAUCGAUCGAUCAAUCUUCUGUCCACUAGUUCACUCCUCAAGUGGCCUCAAUGGCCAGAGCUGAGCCAGCCAGGAGCCAGGAGCUUGAUCCAGGUCUCCCAUGUGGGUGGCAGGGGCCAUUUCAUUCUGUACUGCUUUUUCCUGUGCUACUAGCAGGGAGCUGGAUUGGGAGUGGAAUAGCCGGAACACAGACUGGCACCCAUAUGGAAUGCUGGCAUCACAGCAGCGGCUUUACCUGCUACCCGACAAUGCCAGCACCACUAUAUAUUCUUUAAUUUGUCAGUAUGUCAUAUUGUUAUGAGCCUAUGUAUCUUCUAGGUAUCUUAAUCUUUAUUCCAGGUUCCUGUCCCCACAGUGAUAAGAAUUCAAAGCAGAGGCAUAGUAUAAUGCACAGGUGAAGACAAGAUUUAUUUAAAAGAGAAACCAUACCUGUCACGGUUGUGUGGAGUUGCCUCUGAGGAGGAGGGGCAGGGGAGGCCCUAGAAGGAUCCCCAAGCAUGGUUGUGACCUAAGAGGGCACCUCCCAUGUUAUCAGUCUCUUUUAUGAGACAGGUAGAGUUCAGUGUGUGUGAGACUUCCUGGGUUUUCAUGAUGGCCUCUGUGAAGCGUUUAACUCCCAGUGUGCCAUCGUGGUCUUGGUGAGACACUGCUGCAUCCCAGGGAAGUGGGCAAAUUAAAUCGAUAGAGUUGCAAUGCAGAGCUGGCAGAAAUUCUGACUCACUUAUUUGUAUCUAACCUUUUUUUUUUUUUUAAGAUUUAUUUAUUUAUUUGAGAGGCAGAGUUAGAGGAGAGACAGAGAUCCUGCAUCUGCCAGUUCAUUCCUAAAAUGGCUGCAAUGGCCGAUGCUGGACUAGGCUGAAACCAGGAGCCUCCCCUGGGUCUCCCACAUGGGUUCAGAGGCCUAAACACCUGGGCCAUCCUCCACUGCCCUCCAACACACAUUAGCAGGGAGCUGGAUCAGAAGUGAAACAGCCAGGAAUUGAACCUGGGCCCAUAUGCGAUUCUGGCGCCACAGGCUGUGGCCUUAACCCACUGAGCCACAGUGCAAGGCUUUGUUGGUGCCUAACCUUCCUGCCCGGUUCUCCAUAUCAUUACUGAAUGUCGCUCAGUCAGAAGAGUGUUUCUGUCCUGCUUGCUUCACCAAGUGCUGAUCUUGUGUAUUGUUGGAACAGUAACAUUAAGUGAUUUGGGAGGCCAGAAUACCAUUGUCAUUUCAAGAGUAUUGAUAAGCUAGUUUUUGAAUCCUGGAUUUCUCCCUUGUUUGCUAUGUGACCUUGGGAAAUUUAUUAACUUCUUUUCUUUUUUAAAGAUUUUAUUUAUUUAUUUGAAAGGCAGAGUUACAGAGAGGCAAAGGCAGAAGCAGAGAGAGAGAGAGAGAGAGAGAGAGAGAGAGAGAGAGGUCUUCCAUUCACUGGUUCACUCCCCAAAUGACCUCAGUGGCUGGAGCCUGGCUUAUCCGGAGCCAGGAGCCAGGAGCUUCCUCUGAGUCUCCUACAUGGGUGUAGGGGCCCAAGGGCUUGGACCAUCUUCUGCUGCUUUCCCAGGUGCAUUAGCAGGGAGCUGGAUUGGAAGUGGAACAGCCGGGACUUGAACCGGUGCCCAUAUAGCAAUGCCGGCACUGCAGGUGGCAGCUUUACCUGCUACACCACAGCGCCAGCCUCUAUUAACUUCUUUUAAGACUUACUUUCCUUACAUGUAAAAUGGAAAUAAUAAUAGCAGCCAGUUGGUCUUGUGAAGGGAUAACUGAACUAACGUGCCAAACACCCUACAGAUGCGAGCUUGUCCUCAUCGGGAAGGUACCGACUGUCCGUGGUUAGUGAGUGGAUUGUGGAAAGGUGUUGGGGUUGUGCAUUGAAAUGAGAGCACUCUAAGCAAGGUGGUGAAAGGCAGUAUUCGAUUGCAUAAUGAAGUACAGAUUUGGAAUGUGUCAUUGGUGGAAAAGUUAGUGUGUAGGUUAGGAGGGGAAAAGAGUUGAGCAGCCCAGGUGUGUAUUGUUCCUGUCUUAACUUAAACCCAUUCAUGACUAGCACUGUGGCAUAGCGGAUUAAAGACCCAACUGGCAGCACCAGCAUCCCAUAUGGGCAGCGGUUUGAGUCCUGGCUGCUCCACUUCCCAUCCAGCUCCCUGCUAAUGCGUCUGGGAAAGCAUCUGAGGAUAACUAAGUGCUUGGGCCCCUGCACCCACAUGGGAGACCUGGAAAGAAGCUCCUGGCUCUUGGCUUUGGCCUGGCCCAGCCCCAGUUGUUGCAGCCAUUUGGGGAGUGAACCAGAGGAUGGAAGACCUCUCUCUGUCUCUACCGGUCUCUGUAACUCUGCCUUUCAAAUAAAAAUAAAACAAAAUCUUCUUUAAAAAAAUAAACCCAUUCAUGCAGAAAGGACCAGGAGUACUCACCCUACAGAUGCCUUUAGGGGGUUGAGCAAAUGUUGCAUGGUGCAGUAAGCCAAGUUUGUUAUGUUUGUUUAUUCAUCUGGGACAAGGUGAUUUAAGCAUUUUAAUGAAAUGGUUCAGGAAAUAUCUGCUUUAUGCCCUAUUUGAAUUAAUUGAAAUUUUCGUUCUUACAUCUUAUCAAUUUCAUAGUUAAAAUAUUGGUUUGUAUACUUAAUUAAGAGUGAGUUAAAUAAUGGGGUAAGUGGGAGAGUUAGAACUCAGCAUGCAUUAAGUUGCCUCUUGCUGUUUGGGUUUAGUACUGGUGGAAUAGUGUUCUUAUUGCUUGAAAUACAAACCAAAGCAAAGGGCAAUUAUUCAAAUGUGGCUGAGGCCCUCAAAGCUAGUACAUGCAUCUCUCUAUUCCUUGGUGAGGUCACUCGUGCCUCCGUGAAGUGUGCGGUUGUCAUGGGGCCUGGGUGCUGUUUCAGAGGCAUGCGUACUGUUGGUGGACCGUGGUGGACGGAGACAGGAUGUGGGGAGUGACUGGCUUGGUUUCUUUGCUCUCUGAUUCAUCAGGGGGGGAAAGCCUCUUGAGGAGCCUGAUUUCCAUGGAUGCUGUUUUUAGGGCUACAGUGCUCACAGAAAGGCAAGCAGAGCAGUCUGCAGACAGCAAGUGUUUCCGACUGCAACUGGCUGGGACCUUCACUUUGGUUUUGUUUAGUAGUGCUUAAAAUAUUGACCUGGAGUGUAAGUCCUGAGGCUACAGAGCUGUCCCUGCAGUCUUGCUGCUUAUCUCAUGAGGCAAGAUUGAGCGUUACUCAACGGAGUGCUGAGCAGGAAGCCACACCUCUGGGGCGGGGCCACGUCCCCCUUGCUCAUUGCUGUGUCUCCAGUGCCGAGUGCGCUGUGUCAGUCGCUCAGGAAAUUCCAGUAUGCAGUGAGGGAAUUCUGCCGGAAUGCGGAAGAGAGGCAGGGCUGCUCCCACUGCUUGUGCGUCCAAGCAGAGCCAGGUGGAGGGCGCAGCAGAUGGCACACAGGUGUGAGACAGGGUGCAGACUGCUCUGUAACGUUCCUGGAAGGGCAUGGUGGGUGGGAGAUGUCAGACUAGAAAGCUAGAGUGGGCUUGAUCAGUCAGGAAUUAGGGUUUCUUUUCUUCAAAAGUAGCAAGGACUGUUUUCGGCAAUACUAGAAGUCAGAUGUCCUGAUGCUCAGGUGACCCUCUUUCAUAGAACGUGGUACGUGCCAUGUCAGGACAGCAUUGUAAGGAUUUGGUUCUGUAUCCAUUAGUGAAGGCUGGGUCAUUGGAAUUCUGUAAGCUGUGAGCGAACUUACACCAUCUUUUGAGGAGAAGGAUAUAGCUACAUGUUGUUUUCCUGUGGAUAACGACUAGUUAAACUCUUUUAAGGAUAAGCAAGGUCUGUCUAUCUUUGAAUUUUAGUUCCCCAGAAUGGGGCUAUUUGUGUUAUCAUUUGAGAAUAUCAUAUCAUAUUAUCAGAAUAUGAGUAAAUGAGGGGAAAAAAGAACUUUGUAUAUACUCCUGUAGCUAGCCCUGCACUUGGUUCUGAGACCUGGUCCUCAUCCCAAGGUCUUUGGGGUAGGGCCCUGUCUCUGUGAAGUCACUCCAGUCAUUGGAGGAAGAAGUACAUGGUUGGUUAUAGCACAGUGGGACAGGGUCAUGUGAUAGAGACAUACAUGCACAAGAUAGUGUGUCCCCAUCAAUCUUGGGUGGGAGCAGGGUCUUGGCAGACUUGAGGUUCUACUUAACUGGGUUUUGAGGGCUGAUGAGGAGUUAGGAGUAAGUUGGGUAGAGUAGAGGAAGGACCAGUGUUAAGGGAAAGUGGAGUAGUUGAUGGGCGGGGCAUGGGGAGAUGAUAGGAAGUAAAAUAAGAAACUAAGGGUUCUGGUCAUGGUCAGCUCUGUUUUGAGUGGGAGGGAUGCUGUGAGAUACAGUGGGGUCAGUGAAUGCUUUGAAGGGGUGCUUUGAUCGUGCAGAUAAACAUCUACAGGGUAAAGGAACACUGUUGGAGAACUGCUGUUCUAAGCAAAGAAUUUCUAAUAGCCUGAUAAUGGGGGCCAUUGAAGACUUUUAAGCAAUUGACAUAAUUCAUUUUAGGAAAGGUCACUCUGGUACUGGUGAGGAGAUUGAAUGGAAGGGGGCACCACAGUAAAGAAGGAUCUGUUAGAAGUUUAUUGCAGUAAUACAGUACCUGAGAGAUCUUGGAUCCGGCGCCCCGACCGGGACUAGAACCCGGGGUGCCGGCGCCGCAAGGCAGAGGAUUAGCCUAGUGAGCCGUGGCGCCGGCCCUGAGAGCCUUGUUAUUAAGAACUUGUCUCUCCUGGACAAGGUCUGUCAGUUUUUUGUGUGUUCAUUUCAUUUUAUUUUUCCUUGCUUCUUUUUUGCCUUUCUGUUCUGCUUUCGUGGAGCUGAGUUCAGUUUGACUUAACCUUCUUCUUGAGCUUUUAAAGUUCUGCUUACCAGGUUCUUUAAUUUCCAAAGACUCUUUUUUUUUUUUUUUUUUUUUAAGUUCCUUCUGCUGUUCUGUGCCCUCUGAGAGCAUCCUUUAGGUGAUCGCUAGUGUACACAGUCUCUUUUUCCUGACUUGCGUUUUCCCCUUUUCUUUUCUCCUGUUGUGGGACUCUAUCUUUCUACAUGUCAGAGGCUCUUCUCACAAGCCUGAUACUAUUUUCUUGAGAUAAAUCAAAAACUUCUUUGGAAGCCUUAAGUACAUGAAUGGAGCCUUUUAACUUACAAUCAGGAUAUUCAGGGCAGACCGUUUUUUGGGGAAUCCCCAGUAUUGGCCUCUUUAGAUCUUUCUUCUUAGACUGAUCAGAUUCCCCAAGAAUAUUCUAAUGGUCUGUUUCCUGCAGGGUAGAGCCCUGACUCCUUUACGUGGAAGCUGUGUGGGUCAGGGGUGAUGGAGGAACUGGGGCAUGGGUUCAGUGGCCAAGUCCACCCCUGCUGAGUAGGGUUGGACUAGUUGGCUCUAGUCCAAAAUGCUUUUUCCAGUCUUCUGUCAGAGUUGGGGAGAACACGUUCCAUCAAGGCAUGGUGAUGAGGCUCCUGUUGCAGUGUCAGCAGACUUCGCCAGCGCUGUACCUUGCCCCCAGUCUGUCUGCAGUAGGUGCUGCCGGUUACGAGCUGUCUGGGCACUGCCAUGAGCAGGCGUGGUUCUCAGUGUUGCUGGCUGCUGGCGUAGUUAGGGUCUGGCUGUCUUGGGGCUGCUUAGUCAUUACUGUGCUUCCAGUCUGCUAUUGUUCCUGCUUCCUCCAAGUUUUUUUUCUUUUCUCCUUUUCCUGUUUGCCUUGAUUUCUGUCUUCCUUGUUAGCUUUUCUCACAGCCUUGGAAAUUUUGUGACUUUUUUCUUUAUUCUGUUGUAAUUCCUCUCUUGGUUUUUUACAUUUUAAAAAUCUUGUUUUUUAAAAAUAUUUCUUUAACUUUAGUGGGAGGAAGUGGAGUAGGUCCUCUGACUGCUAUGGACAGAAGAAAGAAACUAGGAGUAUUUUAAAAAUCGUUUGAUUUCUUCACAGAGUUAUUGUGGCCUUCUGAACUCUCAUCAUUUGUUGGAGCUUCACAGCACCAGGACAGAAUGGACUCAUCUGGUUUGGCUUGCUCUUUGGCAUUUGAAGAUAUAUAAGCCCAUGAAAACAGCCUCACGCAGUGUUCCUGUGCUGCCCUUCCUGGAGAAGAUGGUCAGGCCCUGUGGGUGAGACUGCUCUCCCACCCAGGGGCAGGGUUGGUGCCGUGCUGGGGCCUGAAUUCCACUGCACAUGUGGCUGAGCUUCUGGCCCAGGGGAGCCCGUCAGGGUGGCUCUGCUUGCACAGAGCUGAGAUGUGGUCCUUGCGUUGUUUCAGGUUGUGUGGAAGCAGACAUUUGUGAUGCAGUACUAGAACCCCCUCCUCUCGAAGAGCAAAGGAGAGUAGGAGGAAUAGGUGUGGAGAGCACUUUCAGUCAUGGGGUGUGGGGAGGGGGUGGAGGACAGAAAGGAAAAGCUGCCCUGAGACUUCAGACCCCUGUGUGUUGUGAAUGCAUGCUUAAAAAAAAAAAAGAUUUAUUUAUUGGAAAAAAUUAGAGGGAGAGACAGAGAUCUUUCAUAUGCUGGUUCACUCCCCAGAUGGCCACAACAGACCGGGGUUGGGCCAGGCCAAAGCCAGGAGCUUCUUCUAGGUCUCCCAGGUGGGUGGCAGGAGCCUGAGCCCUUGGAUCGUCCUCCACUGCUUUUCCCAGGCCAUUAUCAGGGAGCCAGAUCAGAAGUGGAGCAGCCAGGACAGGAACUCGUGCCCAUGUGGGGUGCUGGUGUUGCAGAUGGCAGCUUUACCUGCUAUGCCACAAUGCUGGCCACAAAGGCAUCUUUUCUUAGCACCAGGGUAUAGGAGUACAGUUGAGUUAGAUGGACUCUGUGGUUGUUGUUGUUGUGUUUUUUUUUUUUUUUUUUUUUUUUUUUCCUGACAGGCAGAGUUAGAGAGACAGAGAAAGGUCUUCCUUUCCAUUGGUUCAUCCCCCAUAUGGUCACUACGGCCGGCACACUGCGCCAAUCCAAAGCCAGGAGUCAGGUGCCUCCUCCUGGUCUCCCAUGUGGGUGCAGGACCCAAGCACUUGGGCCAUCCUCCACUGCACUCCCAGGCCACAGCAGAGAGCUGGACUGGAAGAGGAGCAACUGGAACAGAAUCCAGUGCCCCGACCGGAACUAGAACCUGGGGUGCCAAAGCCGCAGGCGAAGGAUUAGCCAAGUGUGGGACAGAAUCCUGUGUCCUGACCGGGACUAGAACCUGGGGUGCCAGCGCCGCAGGCGAAGGAUUAGCCAAGUGAGCCGCGGCGCCGGCCCGACUCUGGUUCUUAAACAAAAAGCUUCUUACAUGUCUAGAAUGCUAGGCACCGUGUUCGAUGCUGGACUUUCCCAUGUGAACUAGAUGGACAUGGUCCUUGUUCCUUCUAAAUUUCUUUUCUUUGAGGGGGUACAGACAGUUUAGUUAGUCUUUUGGUGCAUUUUCAAGUAGAACUAAUAGGAUUUGCUGACAGCUUGCUUGACUUUUGGCCUGGGCCAGCUAGAAGAAUGGAAGACUGUGGGUGAAUUUGGUUUCAAGGCAUUUUAAAGUUUGAUUUGUCUGCUGGGGAUCCUAGCAGAGAUGUCUGGAGCUUGGAAGAAAAGACUGGGCUGCAGGUGGACAGCUGAGGAGCACUGCUGACUGAGGCAGUGAGCACAGAGCGAGGGGGCGACCAGCAGCAUUCUGGCGUCACUCGUCACUCUGCUCUUACGUGUGCAUGGAGAGAGGCUGCCAGUGGGCACAGGGCAGGUGGAGUGGACAGAGGGGAGGAGGUGCUUCAAGGAGCAGGGUCAGCUCUUUCAAAUGAGCUGCAAGGUCAAGAUGAGGAUUGAGGUUUGACUUGGAGUUAGCAUCUUGGAGGUCAUUUUGGUAGUAUUUAGGAAUGGGAGGCUGAUUGCACUGUAGUUUGACGUGGGCCGAGUUCCUCACAGUAGUGAGUUAAGUUCACGUUUUUCAUCACCAUCUUGGUCGUCAUGGUCAUCAGUCUGAUCUGCCACAUCUGCACCAGGUGCUGUGCAACCCAGUCAGGUGUGGAAGGUAAAUUGUGUUGCCUGUGUGUGUGUGUGUGUGUGGUGAUUUUUCAGUUGAACACUCAGGUUCAAAGUAAAGCGGGUUCUCGAGGAGAAGUGGAGCUGGGACUUGCGGCGGUUGGUUCCAUUGGCUGUGCUGCCUCCUCCAGGGUGCAGAGGCACUUGGAGCACAAGCUCCCUGCCCUUUAUUCCUGCUCAUUGCCCAAGAGAUUUAUAACUAGAAAAUGGAAUAGUAUAAUUUCAGAUUUUCUGGGAAAACACAAUCUCUUGAAAAACUUUUUCUUAAUCAGAGAUGUCCUUCCGUCCAGGGGUGGCCCAGGUCCCUGGUCCUGAGCAGUGUGUGGGAUGUUGCUGUCCUGCCCUCCACCUCCUGCUCCACAGGGAACCCGGAAUCAUGCGUUGUCACUGUUUCUGGUGGAAGCUCGUGCCUCUGUUUCCAGCAGUAUUUGUGUGCUAGUCAUUGUGUAUCUGUUUUAGACAAGUUCAUUGUGAACUCUCAGAUACGUGGAGAUUUUCUGUCUUUGACCCACCUUCCUUCGUCUCCCCAUCCUUCUCACAUAAUUCUAUAAUAGCCCAAAGAGUUUUGUAACCAUGUUUUGGUUUCUAAUGGUUUUGACUGUGUAAACAUUGCUCACUGUUGGGCCAAUUAAUGUAUUUCCUUUCUUCUGUUUUUCUUGUUUUCUUCGACUUAGAAUUACUGUGUUUUGUUUUGUUUUGUUUUCUCUGCUUGCUUUCCUGGUUAAGAGCUCUCCCUGUGCUCAGGGCUCUGUUAAGUAAGGGUUCUGAAUGAAAGGUUCCGUUCAAUCAGGUCUGUUCACUGGUGCCUCUUUCCUCUGCGUGGGGCUGCGCCCCUGGCCCACUGUAAGAGGUACCGGCUUGGGGAGCCCGUGGCCCUGGGGUGCAGGAGGUGGACACAGUUGAGGAAACGUUGUGUUGGGAAGUUCAGAGGAAGGGAGAUGGUUUCUUCCUGGGAGCUUUUCAGGGAGAGGCUGUAGGUGAGUAAGGCAAACAGGAAGGAGGUAGGCGGUCCUUUUUGGUAACUUAAAAGCUUAUAUUGUGGCUGGCGCCGCGGUUCACUUGGUGAAUCCUCCGCCUGCGGCGCCGGCACCCGGGAUUCUAGUCCCAGUUGGGGCGCCAGAUUCUGUCCUGGUUGCCCCUCUUCCAGUCCAGCUCUCUGCUGUGGCCUGGGAGGGCAGUGGAGGAUGGCCCAAGUGCUUGGGCCCUGCACCCACAUGGGAGACCAGGAGAAGUACCUGGCUCCUGGAUUCGGAUCAGCGCAGCAUGCCGGCCGUAGUGGCUAUUUGGGGGAUGAACCAAUGGAGGGAAGACCUUUCUUUCUUUCUCUAUCACUGUCUAACUCUGCCUACCCCCCCACCCAAAAAAAAGCCUAUAUUGUGGCAUCUUGCAAGAUUUUGCGUGUUAACAUGGGAAAUACAACAUUCAGAAUGUUUAACACGGAUGAUAAAUUUCUGAUGUCCAGUAGUCUGAAUGUAUGGUAUAUCAGGAACACUGAAUUUCAGUGUUCUUAAACUGUUCGUUUUACGAACUGAUUCAUGGAUAUAUCUUACAGGCAUGGCACACAAACGUAAAGACCCUGGAAUCUGGCUAACGGGACAGUUCGUCAGUGCACACAUUAGUGUUUUGGUACCACACUUGCUUUCAGGCAAGAACAAGAUGAAUGACCAACAGGAAAUUUAAGGAACUGCUUUGUGUUAGCUCAGCUGGGGAGAGGGCAAGCAUGCCGUUGGAGAGAUGCCACUUCAUGGCAUAGCUGACCGUCAGGGGUGACGGAAGGGCCCUGAGCACGUGGAUCUCCCAGUUGGCAAUGCCAAGGCAAGGAGGAUGAGAAGUCCUUGGCCUUUGUGAUCGCAGACGCCAACAUAACCUUUUAGCUGUCCACUUACUGCCAGUGUUUGUUACCUGCUUCUCAGAUUGUGCCUUCAUGCUCGAGGGCUGUGAAGACUGCCUGUCUGAUCGACGUUUGUGAUUUAGGAAUUAUGGGUGAAGGAAAUUCUAAUCCUGUCAGCUGUCGUUUAUGUCCGUCAUUGUAUGAAUUUGAGUCUCUCUUAGUUCUCUACAGCAACUUAGUGAGGUGGUGAUUAUUUCCAAUUUACGGAUGGAAAAGCUGGGUUAGAGAAAUUAGGAAAUUUGCCCAGGUCCUGUUUGGUAGUACCACGUUCUUCAGUUCUUCCCCGGAGUGUGGUCCUUGGGCUCAGCCGUGCGGCACAGGUGGAGCUCCAGGCCAGGAGAGGAGUGCCGCCUGCCGAGCAGCCAGAGCCUUUCCCGUGUGCUGCCGCCCUUCCUGUAAUGCCAGCCUUGUUACAGGGCGGUGUCUCAUUUCUGCCAAGGAUUGCGAGUCAGUCUGUCAUUUGCAUUCCUGACUCAUACUGCGAAGAAUGUGGUUUCAUCAAAUACUUGUAAAAACAGGAAAUUUCGGUUUCUUGUCCUUAGAAGUAGGCAGACAACUGUUUUCUAGGAUUCUUAGGUUCAGGGUAAGCAGAUGAGGGGAUAGGUGAUUUUUCUUUCUACCUUGUCUGGUUCAUCAUAGUUGUAUUUUUUUUUUUUUAAAUUCUAAGGGACUUUGCAAAAUAGGCAAGCCUUACAGUGUUUCUACUUUGACAGAUUGUAUUGAAAAUGAUAGAUGUCUCAACAAGAAUUUCGGUUUUAAAAUAGCCAAAAGAUUUGAACAUUGUCUCCUUUUGGAUGAGAAUCGGGACACUGGGAGAUGCUCAGUCAGCAUCAGUAGUCAUUAGGAAAUGCAAAUUAUAUAACCCCGCUGAUAGACCAUUGCAACAUUGUUGGAAUGGCUAACACUAAAGCCAGACAGAAGGUGACAACACCAAGUGACGUUGCGGUGGACAACUAGAAUUGUCAUGCAGUGCUGUAGGAGUGCAGAAUGCUCCUUUCACUUUCGAAGUCAGUUUGGCAGAGUUUUAUGAAGUGGGACGUGUCCCCCAGCUGCUCUGUUCCUAGGUGUGUACUGAGAGAGAUGAGAGCAUGAACUCUACACCAGACCCCUGUGUGGCUGCUUAUGGCAGCUGUGUUCAUAAUCACUGGACACAGCGCAAAUGCCGUCAGCUGGUAAAGGGGUAAAACAGAUUUCCAUGCCUCUAUACCUUGGGAUUCACUGUUGACAGAGACAACAGAGUAAGUGAAUCUGCAACGUAGCCUACUAAGUGAAGACAUAGAACCCCAUAUAAUUAGGACUGCAUUCACAUGCGUUUUGGGAAAGACAAAUCUAAAUCUGUAAGAACAGUUAGAUCAGUGGGCACCUGAUGCUGAGGAUGAGCUGUGGGAACUGAUACAGAAGGGCUGUUGGAAACAGCCUGUGUCUUCAGUGUGGUGGUUGCUAGCAGAGUUGAGUGUUAAAACUCAUCCAGCUGUGGGGCCGGCAUUGUGGUGUAGCGGGUAAAGCUGCCGCCUGCAGUGUGGCAUCCCAUAUGGGCGCCAAUUUGAGUCCCAGCUGCUCCAUUUCCGAUCUGGCUCUCUGCUAUGGCGUGGGAAGGCAGUAGAAGCUCCUGGCAUAAUGUGAGCUCCUUUUGGCUUCGUUUUUUAAAGAAAAAAUGUAUUUAUUUAUUAGAAAGUUACUGAGAGGCAGAGAGGUGGGUAGGUAGGUAGGUAGGUUGGUCUUCGAUCCGCUGGUUCAUUCUCCAGAUAGCUACAAUGGCUGAAGCUGGUGCCAAUCAGAAGCCAGGAGCAGGAGCUUCCUCCAGGUCUCGCAUGCGGGUGCAGGGGCCCAAGGACUUGGGCCAUCUUCUACUGCUUUUCCAGGCCACAGCAGAGAGCUGGAUUGGAAGUGGAGCAGCUGGGACUCGAACUGGUGCCCAUAAGCACUUUAGGUGGCUUUACCUGCUACACCACAGCACUGGCCUUUUUAAAAAAUGAUUUUAUUCAUUUAUUUAUUUGAAAGAGUUAGAGAGGAGGAACAUUUCUGUUACCCCACAAAGAAACCCCGUACCCACUAAGUGUUAACCUUUAUUCCUCACUAGCCUCAGCCCAAGGAAACCAUUCCUCUGCAGUCUUAUUAAAGAUACGCCGUUCUGGACUGCAUGUCCAAGGCAUCAUAGAGUCUGGGGUCUUUGUGUCUGGCUUCCUCCACUUGCACAGUGUGUUCCAGGUUCACCCUUGUAGCACAUGGCUGUGCUUCAUGCCUUUUCAUUGCUGAGUCACCUUUGGCAAUAAACGUACUACAUUUGCUUUUAGGAUGCAGCUUGCCAAACUUCCUGACUUUUCUUUCUUU